rnacentral:rRNA from 1 species
UACGUAGGGUGCAGGCGUUAAUCGGAAUUACUGGGCGUAAAGCGUGCGCAGGCGGUCUUUUUAAGUCAGAUGUGAAAUCCCCGGGCUUAACCUGGGAACUGCGUUUGAAACUGGAAGGCUAGAGUGUGGCAGAGGGGGGUGGAAUUCCACGUGUAGCAGUGAAAUGCGUAGAUAUGUGGAGGAACACCGAUGGCGAAGGCAGCCCCCUGGGCUAACACUGACGCUCAUGCACGAAAGCGUGGGGAGCAAACAGG